ACGGGGUUCCACAGAGGUAAAGGUACAAGACCAGUCAAGAUACAAUCUCCCUGCAAUGUGUUACAAAGGCCCAGGUACAGUCUCACUUGUGACAGGUGUGACUUUUUCUCACGUGUAUUUAAGACCAAUUGAGUGCAGAAAAACAAACCAGAAGGCCAAAGACAGAGAGUGACCAGAGAUCGAGGUGCUUUAGCUUAGUGUAGGAGACAAAGGGAUGAGAUUCCUCUAGUGCAAAACCACUGAGGAUCCGCCUUGGAGUCUGCGUUGCUUCACCUCACCUCCAAGCUGAAAGCAGCAGGGAUCCAACCAGAGGUAGGUGGAACUGCAGAGCACUGCUCAGAGCAAAGGGAAAGCAGAACACCAGCAGCUCCUCCUUCUCCUCACUGCAGGACUGAGGCAAAGUGCUGCUCUGCACCUCAAAAUAAUGCCAUUUCCCUCCUUCCCCCCUACCUCUGCAACAGCAGCACAGGAAGCAGGCUGUUUGUUCAUCAAUUCUACAGCUGAUUUGUGCAUUAAAAGGAAGAACCCCAGCCUCUAGACAGAGGCCAGGCCAGCACAUCCCCUUCAGCCAUGAGACAGAGCUGCUAGGACAGUGCAGUGCGCUUAACAAUGCGUCCCUCUUUGUCAAUGGCGAAGUUGUAGUUGCGAGGGUUGUCCAGGCACUCUUCAAUCCGAGCCUCCAGGUUCACAGGGGUGAUGAAGGUUUUUGCUUCCUCCUGCAGCUGCAGAACCUCUUUCUCUUUCUCCUUCAGAAAGGCCUCCAUCAGUUUGGCUUUGUUCUCUGCAGCCUGCAGCUUCUGCAUCUUCCGUUCUUCCUCCUCUUUCCUAAUUCUUUCUUCUCUGCGUGCCCGCUGCCGUGCAUUCUCAGCAUCAUUCCAGGCCAUCAGCAGACGGUGCUCCUCUGAUAGUGCUGCUGAGUCCUCUGCAUCCCGUUGCGCCUCACGCUUCCUCUGCACCACCUCGGACCUGAAGAUGGAGCGGAGGGCGCUGAGCACCAGACGGUGCUGCCGGUACCGCUCGGUGACCACAUAGAGCUCGGCGGGGUCGACGGGAGGCGGCACUUUCAGCCGCGACGCUUUGGACUUGGCGGGGGGAUCGUACCGCGAUUUUCGGCCCCGAGAUGGCACCAACCACGGGCUCCAAGCAGGAAUGGCCUCGGAGAAAGCAG
rnacentral:lncRNA from 1 species